GCACGCACGCCCCGGCCGCCCGCUGAAGGAAAGACCGCUGGAAGUAUUGUGAAUCCCCACGCGAAAAUUCAGCAGUUUUUUCUCCCCCUCCCUUCUCUGUAUCAUUAUUUCUAGUUAGGAUUUGCGUUUGCUCGCCGUUGUUUGUGUUGUGGACUGUGGGAGAUCGUGAAUGGAUGGGUCCGGGGCCUGCUUUGGUCCAGAUCUGAGGCCCAGUUUUUCCUCUUGUAGUGCCAAUGUUCUUGGAUGUUCAGUGUGAGCGGCAUCGGUGUUCCUCAUACUUUGGCUGCGAGUGUUUUUUUCUGAAUGGGAAGCCCCCGACAGGCGAAGGUAGCCGGCAGUUCUGGCUGUGGAUGGUAAACUGUGAAUAGAUGUGAGUGGUGUACAGUGAAUAGAUGUUAGACAAACAGUGUAUAGUUGUGAAUGGUAAAACCAUGCAUAGAUUAGACGUGUGUUUUGGAUAGUAUUCAGCAGAAUGGAUACGCAGACCUGCAUAUAUUUUAUCUGUUUUCCAAAUAGAUUAAGUGAAAAACUACAGUUUUAAUGAGCUUGUACUGAGGCGGAUGUUUCUGAUCUUUAUUGACGCCAAGCUGACGUUUUUGUAUUGAUCAUGCCCCAGUGAUUAUGUAUGCUGAACUUUACAGAAAAAAAUGUGGCACAGACGGCAUACUUACUAAGGAUUCAAAAUCCUAAAUAAGUUCGUUUGCUCGACCCUUGAUUGUCGAACACGUGGCCUGGAUUCAAGAUUGUUGAACCGUUUUUUCAAGUUUUCAGGGUUUAGUGGCUGAGGCGAAUGGAUCAUACCGUACUUUUUCAUCCCUUUCUUACUGUUAGGAAUCUUUCCAUUUUUCCACAUACGUACACACUUUAAAAAUAAGAAAUUCAGCUGUGAAUUUCGCACUAAAGGAUGGAUGAGUGUUCAAAUUUCCGCCCCGACUUGACUGUGUGAACUGUUUGUCAUUCGUUAAGGAGGAACAAGACACCCUCAACGAGAUUAUUGAAGUGCCACCGUGGACUUCUCCAUCCAUUUGUUUGUACAUGAACAUGUUUUAUCGUAGCAUUUACGCUGGCGUGUGUGAGUUGGAAUUCGCUGAGGAUCAUAGCUCAGGUUCUUAGACCUCAGCCCCCUCUGCCGUGGUUUCUGGCAGUACGGCCAUGUUCAUCAGGGCUAUUUAUGAUGAGGGCGCGUGUGGGCGGUCAACGCCCCCCGACCCCGCGGUCGGAAAACGCCCCGCCCCUACUACCUAUCUGACCUACGGAGGUUGUAGCGUCCGGACCAGCAGACAGCACGGUUUCCGGACGAGCAGCUGUUCGGCCAUGGCAGACUGGAAGCGCCAUCUGGGACGCCGGAAGCGGUGCCUGACCGAGGGCGACCUCAGCAGCCCUCUCCCGCCCGCCUGCAAGUGGAGGAGACUAGGUAAUUGCUG
rnacentral:lncRNA from 1 species